CAACACCAUUUAUUAAAUAGGGAAUCCUUUCCCCAUUGCUUAUUUUUGUCAGGUUUGUCAAAGAUCAGAUGGUUGUAGAUGUGUAGUUAUUUCUGAGGCCUCUGUUCUGUUCCAUUGGUCUAUAUCUCUGUUUUGGUACCAGUACCAUGCAGUUUUGAUUACUGUAGCCAUAAAAAAGGAUGAGUUCGUGUCCUUUGCAGGGACCCGGAUGAAGCUGGAAACCAUCAUUCUCAGUAAACUAACACAAGAACAGAAAACCAAACACCACAUGUUCUCACUCAUAAGUGGGAGUUGAAUAAUGAGAACACACGGACACGGGGGAGGGGAACAUCACACACCGGGGCCUGUCAGGGGUGGGGGGCUGGGGGAGGGAUAGCAUUAGGAGAAAUUCAUAAUGUAGAUGAUGGGCUGAUGGGUGCAGCAAACCACCAUGGCACGUAUAUACCUAUGUAAGAAACCUGCAUGUCCUACACAUGUACCCCAUAACUUAAAGUAUGGUAAUAAAAAAGAAUCAGAGACAUCAGAGAAAGAGGGAGCCCAUGCCUUGUCUGGCAGAGACAGAUGGGGAAGUGUUGUUGCACCCAUUGGUGCCCCUCUUCCUUGCCCCAGAGGGAGCGGCUAAGGUGACUCAUAAAUGUGUGCUGGGUCUCCUCUCUAUCUUGGCUGUUGAUCUAUGGGCAAUGAUGGGAAGCAGCUUAGAGAAAAUGAACUGAAUGUGUUUAAAGAAAUAAUGUCAAGAGGUACGCCCAUUGAGGCUCAUUUGAGGGAUGAAGGAUUUGACCAACCCCAUUCCCAGGCGGCACAAAGCUUGUCAGUUCUGUGAAUUUCUGGGAGUUUCUGGAACUAUUGUUAAUGUAAUGACAGUGGCUUCUAAUGCCAGAAAGGGUGAAAGUGAGCAAUAGGUAAGAAUGAAGAAGCAGAUAAAGAUUGCUGGAUGGAUACCAGCAUUUCAGGUCUCUAUGUGUUUGGCAGAAAAUACAGCAAUAGCUAUUGAAUUAAAAACGUAUUACUCUUUGAUCCAGCAAUUCCUUUUUAAAGUAUGUUUUUCACAGAUAUACUGGUACAUGUGGGCAAAUAUGGAUGUGCAGGGAUAGUAAUUGUAGCAUUUUUGGUAACAUCCAAGACAGGAAGCAACUUAAAUUUCCAUCAGUAGAGGAUUGGUCACAUAAAAUAUGAUUCAUCAAAAAGAUGGACUAACAUACAAACUUGAAAAAGAAUGAGGUUCAUCUAGUCGUGUUGAUGAAACUAUCUUUGAGACAUAUUAAGGAAAAAAAAAACUACAGACAGUGUGGUUCCAUUUGUGCAAAAUAAAAUGGUCCAUUCACAGACACAAGUGUCUAUAUAUGUUUAGACUUUUUCUGGAAGGAUACUCAUAAAACUGGUAAUACUGUUUACCUUAAGUUGGGAGUGGUGAUGAGGGAAUAAGGAAUGGGGAGAGAGGAGGCUUUCUUUUUUUCAUAUGCCGUUUCAUUAUGUAAAUGCAUUAUCAUAAGCUGCGCUAUAUUUCCAACAAAAGUAGUUCAUAAUAAAAAGAAAGCAUAUGCCUUCUGCACGUCUGCUAGCUGCUGAGCUUCUCAUUGCCCCAGAUAUUUAUUGAACACCCAUUGUUUGCAGGAUAUUCUGUUAGCCCACUUUGGGGAGGAAGUGGGAAAGCUAUGGUUCAUGCUUUCAGGAAAUGUACUGUCCAGAUGGAGAAAGAAAUGUGUGCAUGCAGUUAUUCUACAAGUCUGAGCAGGGAAAAUGGAAUCUUGAUUAGGGAACUGAUGAAGAUUUUAUGAAGAUGGCUUGUAAAAUUUUGGUAGUGGAAUUUUAAGCCUCACAAAUGGAUGAACGGGGCACAGAAUUCCAGUUGGAGAGAAAAACAUGAACUAAAGGUAUGGAGUGGUAAAUGAAAAGCCAUGUGGUGUCACCUUAAGUGUACCUUCUCAUCUACUUAUGGUACUACCAGAAAUACCACUUUCUUUUGGGUUAAGGUGUUGUUUGCUUUCAGGAGUCUUUGUGAGAAUACAGAUAUCUGCUUUUGAUUGAGAUAUAAGAGAAUAGAUUCAGGGAGGGUGCUAGUAAGCCAGUCCACCCCCCUCCAAAAUAGUUUGAAUUUGUAGCAUUUGCCUAUUUCCAAGGGGUAAAUAUUGCUCCCAUGGCUGACUUCAAGCUACCAACACAGAAUGGGAGUUGGGACGGGAUGUGCAUAAGGGUUCCUUUAAGCCCAAAAGAGCUCACUCCAGCCUGCCAUGCCACAGGAUGAAUUAGAAUCCCAGAGUCUUGGAAAUAAAAGUGGCAUUAAAGAGAGUUUAACAUAAACCUUAGCUACACAUGAAGAAAUUAAUGUGUUUGCACAACGUCUGAGGAAGUGGUAGAGUUGGAACAUUAUCUUCUAGUUCUUGGUUUAGUGAAGUUUCUACUUUUCCUUGGAAAGCACUCAUGUAAUGGAGGGAAUGGAACAUGGAGCAGUGUAGUUUUGGUAGAACAAAAAAGGUCAUGAGGAGAAGCAGGAGCCUUUCUCAGAGAGAGCAGGGUGGGGUCCUAGAAUAGAAUAGGUCUUUGUCACCAGGAAGGUUCUGUGAGCUGGGGAGCUGGGGAGCAAGAGAAAGGACCACAGCAGGGAGGAGGGGGCACAGUCAGGAGAGGCCUUAGGGGAAGGGAUUGGAAGACAAAAUUUCCAGCUGCACAGUUUUGUUCAGGACUAAUAUUUCUUCCCAAAACAGGGAUGUAAUGAGCUGAUCUGAAAUAUGGGAAAGAAAAACUGGGCAAGUCCCAUCCAUAUCCUUGAUGAUCUGUGUGCACUUGGGGAAGUCAGUUCUCCUCUGUAAGCGUCAGAGCUUUCCUCCUUAAAGUGGGCCCCGGGAAAGGGGGCUAGUAGAUGGCUUCCAAGAACCUUCCAGCGUGACAGUCUUUGUGGCUGUGAAUCUGGUUUUUCAGUGAAGAAGUCCCAACAACCAUUGCGGUGCUGAUCUCCACACCAGGAUCUAAUCAACUGUUUGCAUGCUAAUCUCCAGCCCAGACUCAACCUAUGAGGAUGUCAGUCUGCUGCUAAGGGCUGCUAAGAUUAGUGGACUGGUCAGAGUUGGUAUACCCGGGUGAUGAUCUCUAGGGACAGUGGUAGGAACUGAGACUAAAGGCAGGAAGGUGAUGUCAGCAGAGCAACCAAGAGAGUCACAGGGAGAACUGGGAUCAACAGAGGUCAUUAGAGUGCCGCACAGCCCUGGCCACCAAGCAUCAGCCUGCCAUGGCCAUCUGAGAUGCUUUUAGCUGUAGUGGGGAGGUGGUGGUGGGAGUGGGUCACCCUUCAGAUAUCACACUGUUGGGGGCUCGCACCAGCAUGGAUGUUGUGAUGCAUGUUGGCCUCGGUCAUGGCCAUACAUUAGACUCACUUAAAAAUACUGAUUCCAGGACCAUGCCUUGAGAGAUACUGAUGUAAUUGAUCUGUGGUAAGGCCUAGGUCUUGGUAUGUUUUAAAUGUUCACUGGGGAUUUCUAACAUGCAACUAGAAUUGAGAACUACCGGUAUGGUGAAAACAUGAUGAGUGCUGGAAUCAGAGUUGGGUUUGAAUCUGGUCCUAUCAGUGACUGGGGAACUACAGGCUGUGAUUAAUUAUUCUGAGCUUCCAUUUCCUCAUCUGUAAAAAUCAUGUAAAUAAUGUGUAUUUCAUAGAAAUGUCAUAAGGGUGACAUGCUACUAGUAAUAACACUGAUGGUGAUAACAGCUUUCAGUCCAUGGAGCUUUUUGUGAUCAACAUUAUUACUAUUUGUGUUCAGACUUAGCUUUUUGUCCUUCCUUCUCCAGGGUGUAGCACCCUAUGGUAGACUUGCCUUCCUUAGCCCCUACUCUACUGUGAGGGAGUCCUCUCUCCUUGCCCUGGUUUCAGCUACUCAGGGUUCAGCAAAUUGGCUGCUGCAGCUCAGUGGAAAACCAGUGACUCUCUUGGGGUUGACCAGAUGACCAAACAUUGGCACCCAUGAUCACACUCUUGUUCAUAUCCAGAACAACUCAUGCAGCAGCUCAGCCCUUCAGGAUGACACUGGUCAGUGUGUGGCUGCUAUGUGGAAAACCAGGCAGGGCAGGGGCUGCUCAUUCACAGGGGCAGCAAGAAGGUUCAGGAUGCUUAGAGGACUUCCUCAGAAAUGUACCAGUUGCUGUGUGGCUUUGGACAAGUCCUUUUUCCUCUCUGUGCCUCAGUUUCUUGCUCUGUAAAACACAGAUGGCUGAUCUGGACAAACAACAAUUCUAUUCAGUUUGAUGCUGCUGGUUCUGCCACUCCCCUUCUACCCCAGGAGAUGCCUUGGGGGGCUGGCAUCAUCUCUGCCUUCUUCCACAGAGACUCUGAUGCUACAGGGUGGGGCUCUGAGAAAUGCCACUUCAGAGCAGGGCCCUGAGAGUCUGUUCUGGUCACUGCCCACACUGGCUUUCCUCACUCCUGCCCCCAAGGGUUAUACGUUUCCCCAUUUCUCCUCCUGCCACCUAGAACUUUAAAUAGCCUCCAGCACACUAUGUGGCUGCCAGAAGUUGUAAUUAAAUAAUGUCCAGCUGUCAGAAAAGCUGUUAUAAAUGGUCCUUUUGUCUGCACCACUGUCUGGGAAACCAGGAAGGAGAGAAACUAGGGGGUUAUAAAUAUGAAGGGCAGAAGUUCAGUGGGGAGUCCGGGGAAAGCAGCUUUUAGGGACCCUGAAAACACUGGAGGAAUUAAAAGAAAAAGUGUAAUUAGUCUAUGGCAGAGGCCCCAGCUCUGGCUCUGUGACUGGAUUUGCACAUUGGGUAGCCUGAAAAUAAUUUGGGAAGCUAAUGUCUUUAUCUGGAGCUGCAAUUAACAUCUCCUUUUAAAAUCCAGACAGGAAAGCAAAAAGGGCACAAUGAGUGCUGGCAAUCCAGAGAAAGUUCUCGGAUCAACUUUCAUUAUUUUUCACCUCCUUUUCUUCCUUCCUUUAGUCCUUCCUUCCUCUCUUUCAACAAACACACUUGAAUCCCUGCCCUUACUAGCCCUUCUACCUCUAGAGUUCCUGCACUUCACCUUCUACCCCCACAGCCACCUUUGUUGGUGCCAUACCUGACCCUGUCUCCUAGGGGCGGGCCAGGAUCUCAGUCCUCUCUCCAUCAAAAUAUGCCCAACCUGGGAGCCACUUGCACCUUCUUUUUGUGCUGCAGAAUCUGUCAGUGGAUCUCUUGGAGUGCCCAGAGAUUUUUCACUAAAUGAGGAAUAGGGAGAGGAAAUGCACAUUUAUUAACCAUGUAUUAAGUAUUAAAUAAUUUACACACAUUAUUCCACUUAAAUUUCCCAACACUCCUAGGAGAAAAUUAUUAUGAAGCCCAGUAUUGUAAAUGAGGAAACUGAGGCUCUUUGAGAUGAAACAACUUUUCCAAGUUACACAGCCAGUAAUUAAAGGACUGGAGAUUAGAAAACUCAGUCUCUAAACUCCAUGAGGGCAGAGGCUGUGUCUGUUUUGUGCAUUGUCUUGCUAGGGCACUGCAUGGUGCCUGGCACAUAGAGACCUUGAGAAAUAUUCAGAGAAGAAAGAAAGGAAACAGAAGAAGGAGAAAAAUGGAAAACAACUCAGCUCUGUCAGAUGCCAAAGCCAGUGAUCUUUCUAUCGUGGCAUAUAGUCUCUGUAGAGUACAGACAGGCAGUUAUGAAUUAGAGAGAUGUACAUAAUAGUUGGGGGAAAGUGAUUGUUAAAAUGUGUGCAAAAAUAACAUGAUUAGAAAGCAGAAGAUUGGUUUCAAGGAUCAUUGGGGAGGUGGAGUGAGAGUGCCGUGGGGGUUCAGAGGAUGGAGGGAUUGAUUGCAGCUACAGGAAUGGGCAGACUUCAUGAGGGAGGCAGAGUUUGAGCCUCGAAGGAUGAGUAGGAUUUGGACACAGAGAGAUGGUGGUCAGGGAAGGUUGAGAAAACAGAAGGGAUGGGGAGAAACAUAAAUUAUCUGUCUGGAAGGGGAUAGACCAGUAGUUAGGCAUUUGAGUCUCCAUGGUGUCCUUGCGUGGCUAUUAGGGAUGAAUCUGGCUGUGAAGUCCUCCAUCUGGGCAUUCUGAGACAUUCACUGACAGAUUCUACAACACAGAAAAUGUGUGGGUGACUCCCAGGAUGUGCAUAUUUUGCUAGGGAGAGGACUUAGAUCCUGGCCUGCCCCUAGGAGACCCGGUCAGGCGCAGCGCCAACAAAAAUGGCUGUAGGGGUGGAAGGUGAAGCGCAGGGACUCUGGAGAGAGAGGGGCUAGUAAGGGCAAGGGCUUUGACUUCACUUCUGCUCCUCCUGUGUUCCUCAGCAUUCUUCAACCUGCCACUCAGCCAACCAGGGCACCUGACUAGUGCCCAGGGACAAUGAAGGGUUGUUGAGGCUGUUGUUGAACUAUUUGUUUUUGUUGUUGUUGUUUUUGUUGUUUUGCUGUGCUGGACAUGCUCUGAGAGCAGCAGGAACACAGAUCAUGGAAGAAAUAGCCCAAUGGUUUGGGGGAUUAUUAAAUAAUCAUAGCCAGGGCACUUUACCUUUAUGGACAGGCUGCCUGGCAGCAUCCUCAAAGGCCAGAUGGGAACUCAUACGACCAUUUUAAGAGACGUGAAUGCUCAUAAUGAGAAGGUCUGCAGUAGAAUGAUUCAAGGUUACUCUAUAAGAGCCCUCUGUACCAAAACGCAGGAGCCCAGUCAUCCCUUUCUGGGGCUGAGGCAAACUCUUGACCACCACAAAACUUUGGCUGUUUCGUUGGUGGGGAGACCUUAAAGCCAGCUUUAGAGCAGGUGUUAUAGACACUUCUCCACAUGAGGGAUUCCAGGACAGGAUGGAUACCAGGCAUGAGUGGGGAUUCUGAAUGUAAUAUAUUUGCCAUCAGGGCUAGGCAGGUGUCCUGCUACCUGGACAGGCAGCCUUGAGCACAUCUCUAAAUUCUUCUGGGCCCUGGUUUUCUAUUCACAAACAUUGAUUCAAGAAGUUCCUUGUGAGGACCUGCUGUAUGCCAGGUAGGCUCUGGGGGCAGGCAGCAAACAAAAGUCCAUGAUCUCUGUCCUCAUGGAGCUUCUAGUCUAGUGGAAAUAAGCAAGUAAUCACACAAAUGCACACAUUAUUGCAGUUUGCAAUAAAUGAUAUGAUGGGAAAAAACAAGGUGCUAUGGGAGAAACUUUUAGGGAGGGGAAUAAGGGAAGACCUCUUUGAGGAAGCGACUUAUAGCUGAUACCUGAAGGGUAAGUUAUCUGAGUCAUAUUCAGAGGAAGAGCUCUUUCAAAGGCCCUGUGGAUGGGAAAAGAUUUGUAUACUUGAGGAGCUGCAGUUAAGCCUGCAUGGCCAGAAACAGUGAUCAAGGUGCAAAAUGGAGUGGCAUGAGGCUGGGGUGGAGGACAAGAGAAGGGCCAGUGAUGCAUCAGCCCAUCGAUCAGAAGGAUUCGGGACUUACCCCCGUGAUUGUUGGGAGACCAUCGCUCAAUUUUAAACAGGAGUGUAAUGAUUGGAUUCACAUGCUAAAAAUAAAAUAAACAAUAAGAGAUGGAAAAACAACAACCAAGCUUCAAAAAUACUUGAGCCUCUGUACAGGGGAAAACAAAGAUUUGAACAAGUAUUUUCAUGUUGCAGAAUCUACCCCAUGGGAAUAAUCUGCUAGCAGAACAAAGAAUUAUGUAUGAAAGUAUCCAUUAUAGUUAAAAAGACCAAAACCAUUCUGGCUGCUGUGUGAAGGGAAUAAACACUAAUAAGUCUUGCCUGCUUCGGAAUCAAAUGAGAGAAAACUAUGAAAGGGCUUUGUAAGUGGUAAUAUGGGUACACGUUUGAGAGGGACCCAAAAUCUCCCCAUCCUCCAACUCUCCAUCCUCCCCCAAUAAAAUGCUGAUUAUCCCAGGAGUUUAAGGCUUUAAAUCUAUUAAAGGGGAAAUGUCCCAGGGAGGCUCACUCUUUGAGCUAAGCAAGACAAAGGCAGAGCCUCAGCCCCAAAGGGACUAGAAGCAGUGAUUCUCAACCCUGGCUGUACACUAGAGAUACCUGGUAUGGAGCUAGCCUUGAAAAUGGCCCCCAAAGAACCUUACUCCCUUGUGUACCAGCCCUUGUGUAGUCCCUCCUAUACUGAAUAUGACUAUCCUAUGUAACCAAGAGGACAUUGUGGAAAUGAUGGAGUGUGACUUUCAAGGCUGGGCCAUAAAACACACCGUGGCUCUGUCUUUCUGUCUCUUUCUUGGAUUAUUUGCUGUGGAAAAAGCCAGCAGCCAUGUUGUCAGGAUGCUCAAUCAACCUUGUGGAGGGGUCCAUGUGGCAAGUAACUGAGGUCUCCUAACAACAGCCAUAUGAAAGAACCUUGUGGAAAGAGAUCUUCCAGCCUCCAGCUGACAUCUUACCUGCAACCUCAUAGGAUACCCUGAGCCUAAACUACCUAGCUACACCAUUCUCUAGCUUCCUGAUCCACAGAGAUGGUGAGACAACACAUACGUUUUGUUUUAAGUCAUUUUUUUGGAGUAAUUUGCUAUAUAGUAUUAGAUAACCAAUGCUCCUGGGGAGCUUUAAAAAAUCUAUGCACAAGUCAUAUCCCCAGAAAUUCUGAUUCAUUUGGUCUGGGGUGAAGUCUAGGCGUUGGUAUGUUUAAAAGCCCUCAGAUGACUCUAAUGUGCAUCCAGGAUUGAGAACCACUGCAUUAGAGAAUCGAGUGAGUAAGUCAACAAAGCAGGGAUUAGGUAUAGGGUAUUGCCUCAAUUUCCAGGGCUAAAACUUGGUUUACGCUGUGAGUUCUACUCUGGGAUAAGUCUAAAGCCUAGUGUGGAUCAGAGCCCAGGGUCACAGUGGGCUGAUAGUCAGUUGUCUCAGUGUCCACAGUUUCUGUGGAUCCCUAAAUUUCCCUUAGGACACAGGGAAGGAAAUCAAGUGGCCUCAUUGGAGGGAAGAAGAGAGGUCCAGAGCCAGUCAGGUAAAUCCACUUUCCACAGUCCAUAGCUUUGACCCAUGAACCCUCCCUGCAGUCCUCCACCUUUGGAAUGCAGGUGUGCCGGAUGCCCACUUCUCCACUGACGGACAGCCCUCUACCUUCCUCCCACCCACCAUUGUUUUCUGUCCAGACCACGUUCCUGUCUCUGAAUGUUCUCUUUGUAACUUAUGAGCAAUGAUGACAGCUGAUUCUGAAAACCUUUGUCUGUCCUCAAAUUUCCAUGACUAAUGAGACACUGUUCCCAUCUCUGCACAAUAACUCAGGGGGCUCGGCUGUCUCUUUGUACUCCCUCAUGUUAUCAUCCUGAUGAAACCUGCAAUAAAGUAAUUAAAGUGAUUAGAAAGGGAGUCCUAGCAGAUGAAGAUGCUGAGGAGAUGGUCAGAUAUUGUGAGCUCACCCAGGUGAUCUCAGCCCUGUGUGUCAGGGUAAGGUGUCUGGUCUCCUGGAACUCUCUUGUGAAUGGAUGCUAGUACCAACUUGCAUCUGUGGGGUACCAAUGAUUUCAGAAGCAUUUUAGACAUUUUUUUUUUAGCACUUGUAACAUGGUAGGUGUAGAAGAUACAGAAUUUAAUAAAACCCUCUUCUUGUUCUCAAGGAGCUUUUGGCUUAGUAGAGACAAAUAAGAGAUAAGAUAAGACUAUGAUGAAUACUUUCCUUGGGGGCUGAGAGAGCACAGAGGAGAAGUACCUUGUUCAGCCUAGGUAGUUUUUUGUUUUGUUUUGUUUUGUCUUUUUUUGUUUUUUUGAGACAGAGUCUCGCUCUGUCGCCCAGG
rnacentral:lncRNA from 10 species